ACAGUGCGCCCCAUGUCGUUGCACGGCAGUGCUGCGCCACACCGCUGACACCCCCGCCACCCCUGGCUGUCCCUUCUCCCCACCCCACCCUUCCCGAGCCUUGCUGCAUGAGACAGACACGUCACAGCUACCAGCCGAGCAGUGAGCACCCGGAACGUAUAUAUUGCAUGCCACUUGCUGAGGAGCGGACAGAGUUCUUACGAUCUAUCCACGGGGAGAGUCGCUUGUGACUGAAUCUCGUGGCCACUUCGAUAACAGCCAUGCUGCGCUGUCUGUGGGUGUUGGUCCUGCUAGCGGCACUGUCGGUGACCUGCGCCAGCCCAUCCUGGAGGUCUCGGCCCAGCGGCAUUGGGGAGUCACUGCGGAUCGCCCAGGACUUUCACAACGCCAGACGGUGGCAGAGCAGGUACCGGCGCACGACCACGCCGCGCUGGGGCUGGAGGACGCCAACGCCCACCCAGGACAUCCAGUCACAAUUCCGGGACGCCGUGGCCACCUGGAGGAACAACCAGCUGCGCAUGAUGGGCUGAGGGGGCGAAACCGGCGAGUCGCACUCGAGCCUCAGUUUCUCCCUGCCAAGUGCCAACGCAGGACAUGAACUAAAUCUUAGCUGAUGUGAUGCUAUUUCCCUCUUAUUGGUACUGCUAUUAUCACCUUCAACUUGCAAUGUCAGCCAUAGCAUGGGCGUUCGUCUCACGGCGUUCCAACCGUCGACUGUGCUGUUACUGGAGUUACCUACAUAAGAUUUAGGGUUUACGUACACUUGCUAUAUCAGCUUGUGUUACUUGUGAUAUGGAUGUAAGUAGAAGCCAGUGUCCAUUGCAUGGUUGACCGAAUAUAUUUUUUUAAUGACGCUUUAGUUACAUUUAACCGAGAGAUACGCAAGAUAAGCUUUUACGGGAAUCGCUGCCACGGUCAUAAAUGAAGAUAAAACGAUUGAAUUUCAUGAUGAGCACGACUCAAAAUGAAAGUCUGCAAUCUU
rnacentral:lncRNA from 1 species